ensembl:lncRNA LINC00710 long intergenic non-protein coding RNA 710
AGAUCGUACAACCAACGUGGUAAUGCUGGCAUAAUAAUUCCCGGUUGCCAUUUUCUGACAUUUGAAAAGAUCUGAAGAUACGCCCCUUGGAUGCCUGCAGAGAAGCUCUGGGGCUUCAGUCAAUGACUCAGGGUAGCCACCGAACAUGAUGCUCGGGCAGUGGGUGCCACCUGGACUCCACUCUCCCCUCUCUCUGGGAUCAUAGAGUCCAAGGUGUUCUGUGGCCUCUCGGCCAAUCCCAGCAGCUCAGCGUGCAGAAGACCGAGGAGCCAUUGGAAUUCAACACAACACGAAAUAAUCAACAAAUUCGGGGAAUGUUAAUCUGACCAUCACCAGUUACAAAUGAUGUUUCAUGCUACCUUCUAUUCCUGCCUUCAUAAAUCAAGGUAAUUACUUGGCAAUCUGGCUAUGCCUUGUAAGGCAAAAGAGCUGUUCAUUUCUUGUGUCAAAUGGUGAACAGGGAGGGAGAGUAAAAUGGUAAAUAACCCUGCCUCCCAUCUGUGCCCAAUCAGCUCUAAAUCUCCAGGAAAAAAUGUGCUCAGGAUGGCCAGAGAAAUGUCCUUCCAACUGUGCAUGGAAAGGUAUGAUUUUGUGCAGCAGGUGAAGGACUGGUUAGAGUAAGUGUGUGCUGAGCUUUUGUGUUUGAAAGCGAGCCUGUGCACUUCUAACGAUUGGAAGGUUUCCUUGCCUUCUCCGAUCUUACACACAGCAAGGACAGCAAAGCCUUCCAGACCUGCCUGUGACAUGCACUGCACAUUCUAAAGAUGCCUAUGCAAUGGAAAACACCACUGUCUGCUCCAGCACAGCUGCCAUUCUUCCAUCUUAUCGACCUUAAUGCAACAACUCCUCACAGGCAGAGAUUUUAAAAUGUGUUCUUGGCAGAAGAGAGACUCAAAGAUGGGACAAAUGUGUCAUUUAAAUGCCUGUUAAAAUGGAAACAGACAUAGUAUAGUCAGAGGAUUGUGGCAGCUAAGAACAUAGUCUCUGGAGCAAAUCUGCAUGGGUGGCAAUGCCAAGCACAUGAGGUCCUAGUUGUAUGAACUUAGGAAAAGAAAAAGAGAACAUAUAUCCCCCUACCUUUUGAUUUCCAACAGUCUACUGAGAGGCCAAGAUUAUUUGCAGGGAAAGAAAAGGGGAAUGCCAUCCCCACCCUCUCGCAGCUACGUGCCAGUUCCAGAGCACCUGUUCCCCUCUACUUUGAAAAGGUCAAAAUGUUUUGCCAGUAACUCCCAAAUCAUCUACAGCCAAGGAGAAAAGUGUUUCAAGACAGAGGUGCUCAAUGGUAUCAAAUACUGCCAACAGACCAAGUAAUACAUGCAUUGAAGUGUCUACUGGAUCUAGCUAUAUAUGAAGAAACUGAGGCAGACAGAGGUGAAGAAACUUGCACAAGGUCAAAGAACAAAGAGUCACAUUAGCAGCUGGAUAUUCAGCUGUGAAGCUCAAGGAAGAAGUCAGGGCUGGAGAUAUAUGAAUGAGAACCAUCUGCAUAAAGAUGAUCUUUAAAAUCAUGGAGCUGGAUGAAAUCUCUCUCCACUCCUCCCCACAGGGGAAUGGAGCAAUGCCCAGGGCGCCCUGGGGCACCUCAACCUGCAGAGGCCAGUCAAGCUGGCAAGGAGUAACAGAAGACUGAUGAAGAAUGGCCAGCAAGAGAGGAGGGAAACCUGGAGGGCUUGAUGUCUCUACAAUGAAGAGAGCACUUCAUGGAGGAGGAAGUUGUCCCUAGGUUGAAUGCAGCUGAGGGACUAAUUAAGAUCACAGCUAAAUGGCCACUGGAUUUACCCAGAUGGAGAAGAAGAAGAAAAGCACCUACCUGGCAUGGAUGCCAUUCUUUAAGUACUUACAAUCCAUUCUCCCCUUACCCCGACUCCUACCUUUCUCCUUGCUGACAGAACAGGCCUCCCAUUACAAAGGCUGAGAAUACCAGAAACCCAAUGUCCCCUCCCUAAGGGAUCAGGCAUGGAAAAGGGAUUCCUCCCCUAAAAAACAGUCCCAUGGAAGAAGAUGGACAUGGUCCCCACGUGACGGCUGGAGUUGCUGUGAGCAUGAGGUGCGCCUUAUCAACAUGAUGAAGAUGGCAGACGGUGUACCAGGGUGCUGGCUGUAGUCCGUUUUGUGCUGUUAUAACAGAAUCACACAGACUGAGUAAUUGACAAAGAACAGAGAUUCAUUUCUCAGAGUUCUGGAGGCUGGGAAUUUCAAGCUCAAAACACCAACAUCCGUGUGAGCCUUCUUACGGUGUCCUCACAUGGCAGACAGCAGAAGAGCAAGAGAAGACAAACAUUGGGUCCUCACAUGGCAGAAGAGCGAGAAAAGGAGUGAAUCUGCCCCCACAAGCCCUUUUUACGGUGGCAUUGAUCCGCUCAUGACAUCAGAGCCCUCAUGACCUCACCACCUCCCAUUCAUUCUCACCUCCCCAGAGUCACAUUGAGGAGUAGGUUUCCAGCACAUGAAUUGUGGGGGACACAUUCAGACCAUAGAGGCUCUGAAUUCACCCUGGGCCUUCUCUGACCUCUUGAACCAUAACUACAAACUCAACCUGCAUUUUUAGCCUGCUGUAACUACCGAGGCUUUUCAAUGGAUUCAACCUGAGAAAAAUAAUAAAGAAGGACAUUGUAAGGGAAA